rnacentral:rRNA from 1 species
AGUGAACGCUGGCGGUAGGCCUAACACAUGCAAGUCGAACGGCAGCACAGUAAGAGCUUGCUCUUACGGGUGGCGAGUGGCGGACGGGUGAGGAAUACAUCGGAAUCUACUUUUUCGUGGGGGAUAACGUAGGGAAACUUACGCUAAUACCGCAUACGACCUACGGGUGAAAGCAGUGGAUCUUCGGACCUUGCGCGAUUGAAUGAGCCGAUGUCGGAUUAGCUAGUUGGCGGGGUAAAGGCCCACCAAGGCGACGAUCCGUAGCUGGUCUGAGAGGAUGGUCGGCCACACUGGAACUGAGACACGGUCCAGACUCCUACGGGAGGCAGCAGUGGGGAAUAUUGGACAAUGGGCGCAAGCCUGAUCCAGCCAGACCGCGUGGGUGAAGAAGGCCUUCGGGUUGUAAAGCCCUUUUGUUGGGAAAGAAAAGCAGCAGGUUAAUACCCCGCUGUUCUGACGGUACCCAAAGAAUAAGCACCGGCUAACUUCGUG